AAAAUCCCAAACCAAACCAAAAAUUCCAAUCCCAAACCAAAAAAAUCCCAAACCAAAAUUCCCGAACUUUUCGGUCUUUCAUCCCGAACCAAACCGAAAUUUUCGGUAUGGGAUUCGGUUUUGCAUGUCCAUAUUUUCGGUCAGCUCCCAUUUCACUUCCCUUGUCCGUUCCAUUGAAACUCGAAGCGCAGCCCUCAUCUCAUCUCACCGAGCCUCCCUCACCGAGCCCUCAUCUCAUCUGUCUCUGUCGAAUUCCGGCCAACCAUCGGCCCACCACCACACCAUACCCACCUCGCGAAAGGCUAUUUAGUCUUGGGAUUGUCUGCGGAAGCCACACUAACUUAAGCCUAAGGUGAGACGUCAGGAAUGGUGGGUUUGGAAUUUCAGUGGGUUUAGUUGAAUCUUUGUUCAAAGUUUUAAUUUUUACUAACCAAGUUUGUGAAUUUUGAAAAUAUAUUGCAUUGCGGUCGGGGUUAUGGUUUGCAAUACCUUUUCCAGAUCGUAUUUACCAGGUGUUAAAGGCAGAUCAUUCACAUGAAGGAAGAGGAAAAGCGGUUGUUAAGGUGGAGGUUCGUGAUGUUGACUCUGGGAACAAGACAUCCUUACGAUUGUUGACGGAUGAGCAAAUUGAUAAAGUAUUUGUUGAAUCAAAAACUUACGUUUACAUGUGCACAGAUCGUGAUGGCAUUGUAGUAUUGAUAGAGUGAGUUUUAUAUAAUAUUAAAAUUUUCUUCUAGAUUCACUUUCAGUUCACUUUCUUCUGUUACUUUCCCUUAAAUAAUGUGUACUAUUUGUAAUUCUUAUCAGCCCUGUUACUUUCUUCUG